AUUUUUGACUGAUUUGAAUGAGCAAAUUAACAGAUUUUCUUUUCUGCCAUUGUAUAGACACAGCUCAAUUCAAGGGACAGAUGCUCAAAGCUAACUGCAUAUCUAUUCUGACCCAGUCUUACACACUUUGCAUUUUUCACUUCUGCUUUCCGGGGUCCAGAUGAUUGAAUAUCUGUCUUCUCUCAUUGAGCACCCACUCAGGAAACAGCUCCAUGAGUGUGGUGCCUCAGCAACAAGAUGGAAAUAAUGACAACUCCUACUGAUUUUCUGCCAGGGCAAAUAGCUGAAGUUUCUGCUCCUGUGGAGACUCAUGAGAUGCCUAUUAGUCAGUCUGGAGCCUACAGGUGCCUGAGUUGCUGCAGGAGGAGAAACGGAAUGUCUUUCGGCUUUGCUUUUGUGUGGAUCUGUUGCAUGUUUACCAAGAAACAAUUCUUAUUUGAAUUUUCCAAAAAUGUGAGGUUUCCACUACCAUUUGGAAGAUACGGAGCCAUUGUUUUGAUUGUCACGCAUGGACUUCCACUGAAGUGUUUUUCCUCAAAGGUAACUAGAUAUUCGUUACUACUGCUUUUCCUUAGAAACAAAAGUGUCCCAAUCAUAAUUAUAGGCUCAGAGCAAGGGAAACAGUAGGGAAGAAACCUAGAGCUCUGUAAACAUUACUGAAGAACCUUGCCAAACAUAUGCCUGAGUUCAGGUAUGGGGAAACUCAAGAGUUUAGCGUUCUUAAAAUGAUAUUUGAAGAGUGUUUCAAAAAAAAUAAGGUUUCAUCAGGGCUUGUAAAAAUUUGUAUUUAAAGGACGUUUUAGCCUGUCUGGUCAGGCAGAUAAUCUUCCCUCCCUAAAUCAGUGCCUCGCUGUUUUGUUAAGUCCACGGCCCAGCAGACUGAAACAAAAGGUGCGAAGUUCUUCUCAUCCAUCUUAAUGGGGUGUUAAUGACUGCAGAGGCUGACUGUGAGCAUUUAAAUGUGAGCGCUAUUAAUCACCUAGAAAAAAACACAAACACCCAGCUUGAGCCACUGAAACCUAACUGCAAGGGACAGUUGGGUCCAAUUUUGUCUUUAAAUGAAGACUUGUAUAAAAAAUAAAGUGAGCUGCCCCCAUGGCCGCUUGGCA
rnacentral:lncRNA from 1 species